rnacentral:rRNA from 1 species
UACAGGGGGUGCAAACGUUGCUCGGAAUCAUUGGGCGUAAAGCGCACGUAGGCGGUUCGUUAUGUCGGAUGUGAAAGCCCUUGGCUUAACCGAGGAAGUGCAUCCGAAACUGGCGAGCUAGAGUACUAAAGAGGAUCGCGGAAUUCCCGGUGUAGAGGUGAAAUUCGUAGAUAUUGGGAAGAACACCAGUGGCGAAGGCGGCUCACUGGCCCGAUACUGACGCUGAGGCACGAAAGCGUGGGGAGCAAACAGG